AACGCAAAUUGCGCCCGAGGCUUCGGCCAAAGGCAUGUCUGCCUCAGCGUCGGCUUCACCCCUCCCCUCCCUUUCUCUUUGCUGGAAAAAGGGAGGGGGACCUGGUUGUCUCGGCCCUCACCGGCCGGGUCCGCCGAAGCACAGAGGCUCGAGCAGGACCCCGUUCAAAGGGCGACAGUCUGGUAGGUGACCUCCCCGGUCGCAUGCCGCUGGUGCCUGGGGCGUCUGCUGGCCGAGCCCGCAGGAAGUGGCCAUUUCAAAGGCCACCCAUCCACUCAUUCGACCUGAGUUCAGGCAAGAGCACCCGCUGAACUUAA
rnacentral:misc_RNA from 1 species